GGGGGAUAUUGCGCAAUGGGGGCAACCCUGACGCAGCAACGCCGCGUGAAGGAUGAAGGUUUUCGGAUUGUAAACUUCUUUUAUUAAGGACGAAACUUGACGGUACUUAAUGAAUAAGCUCCGGCUAACUACGUGCCAGCAGCCGCGGUAAUACGUAGGGAGCAAGCGUUGUCCGGAUUUACUGGGUGUAAAGGGUGCGUAGGCGGCUUUGCAAGUCAGAUGUGAAAUCUAUGGGCUCAACCCAUAAACUGCAUUUGAAACUGUAGAGCUUGAGUGAAGUAGAGGCAGGCGGAAUUCCCCGUGUAGCGGUGAAAUGCGUAGAGAUGGGGAGGAACACCAGUGGCGAAGGCGGCCUGCUGGGCUUUAACUGACGCUGAGGCACGAAAGCGUGGGUAGCAAACAGGAUUAGAUACCCUGGUAGUCCACGCUGUAAACGAUGAUUACUAGGUGUGGGGGGUCUGACCCCUUCCGUGCCGGAGUUAACACAAUAAGUAAUCCACCUGGGGAGUACGGCCGCAAGGUUGAAACUCAAAGGAAUUGACGGGGGCCCGCACAAGCAGUGGAGUAUGUGGUUUAAUUCGAAGCAACGCGAAGAACCUUACCAGGUCUUGACAUCCAACUAACGAAGUAGAGAUACAUUAGGUGCCCUUCGGGGAAAGUUGAGACAGGUGGUGCAUGGUUGUCGUCAGCUCGUGUCGUGAGAUGUUGGGUUAAGUCCCGCAACGAGCGCAACCCUUGCUAUUAGUUGCUACGCAAGAGCACUCUAAUAGGACUGCCGUUGACAAAACGGAGGAAGGUGGGGAUGACGUCAAAUCAUCAUGCCCCUUAUGACCUGGGCUACACACGUACUACAAUGGAUGUUAACAGAGGGAAGCAAGACAGCGAUGUGGAGCAAACCCCUAAAAACAUUCUCAGUUCAGAUUGCAGGCUGCAACCCGCCUGCAUGAAGAUGGAAUUGCUAGUAAUCGCGGAUCAGCAUGCCGCGGUGAAUACGUUCCCG
rnacentral:rRNA from 1 species